rnacentral:rRNA from 1 species
UGCCAGCAGCCGCGGUAAUACGGAGGGUGCAAGCGUUAAUCGGAAUUACUGGGCGUAAAGCGCGCGUAGGCGGUUAUUUAAGUCGGAUGUGAAAGCCCCGGGCUCAACCUGGGAACUGCAUUCGAUACUGGGUAACUAGAGUACGAGAGAGGGCGGUAGAAUUCCACGUGUAGCGGUGAAAUGCGUAGAUAUGUGGAGGAAUACCGGUGGCGAAGGCGGCCUCCUGGCUCGAUACUGACGCUCAGACCCGAAAGCGUGGGUAGCAAACAGGAUUAGAUA